rnacentral:rRNA from 1 species
GUCUUUUUGUGUUAAAUUUAAAGUCUGACCUGCCCACUGAAUUUUAAAUGGCCGCAGUAUUUUAACUGUGCAAAGGUAGCAUAAUCAUUAGUCUUUUAAUUGAGGGCUGGUAUGAAUGGUUGGACGAGGUAUAUACUGUUUCAUAUAUAUUUAUAUUAGAAUUUUAUAUUUUAGUUAAAAAGCUAAAAUGGAAUUAAAAGACGAGAAGACCCUAUAAAUCUUUAUAUUUAGUAUAAUUUAGAAUUUUAUAGAUUUAUUUUAUUUUUAUUAUUUUGAAAUAUUUUGUUGGGGUGAUGUUAAAAUUUAAUAAACUUUUAAUUAUUUUGUAGUCAUUAAUUUAUGUAUUGUUGAUCCAUUAUUAGUGAUUAUCAGAUUAAGUUACUUUAGGGAUAACAGCGUAAUUUUUUUGGAGAGUUCAUAUCGAUAAAAAAGUUUGCGACCUCGAUGUUGGAUUAAGAGAUAGGUUUAGGUGUAGCUGCUUAAAUGUUAAGUCUGUUCGACUUUUAAAUUCUU